GAUGAACGCUAGCUACAGGCUUAACACAUGCAAGUCGAGGGGAAACGACAUCGAAAGCUUGCUUUUGAUGGGCGUCGACCGGCGCACGGGUGAGUAACGCGUAUCCAACCUGCCCACCACUUGGGGAUAACCUUGCGAAAGUAAGACUAAUACCCAAUGAUAUCUCUAGAAGACAUCUGAAAGAGAUUAAAGAUUUAUCGGUGAUGGAUGGGGAUGCGUCUGAUUAGCUUGUUGGCGGGGUAACGGCCCACCAAGGCAACGAUCAGUAGGGGUUCUGAGAGGAAGGUCCCCCACAUUGGAACUGAGACACGGUCCAAACUCCUACGGGAGGCAGCAGUGAGGAAUAUUGGUCAAUGGGCGAGAGCCUGAACCAGCCAAGUAGCGUGCAGGAAGACGGCCCUAUGGGUUGUAAACUGCUUUUAUAAGGGAAUAAAGUUAGUCUCGUGAGACUUUUUGCAUGUACCUUAUGAAUAAGGACCGGCUAAUUCCGUGCCAGCAGCCGCGGUAAUACGGAAGGUCCGGGCGUUAUCCGGAUUUAUUGGGUUUAAAGGGAGCGUAGGCCGGAGAUUAAGCGUGUUGUGAAAUGUAGACGCUCAACGUCUGCACUGCAGCGCGAACUGGUUUCCUUGAGUACGCACAAAGUGGGCGGAAUUCGUGGUGUAGCGGUGAAAUGCUUAGAUAUCACGAAGAACUCCGAUUGCGAAGGCAGCUCACUGAAGCGCAACUGACGCUGAAGCUCGAAAGUGCGGGUAUCGAACAGGAUUAGAUACCCUGGUAGUCCGCACGGUAAACGAUAGAUGCCCGCUGUUGGUCUGAAUAGGUCAGCGGCCAAGCGAAAGCAUAA
rnacentral:rRNA from 1 species